rnacentral:rRNA from 1 species
CCUACGGGCGGCAGCAGUGGGGAAUAUUGGGCAAUGGGCGAAAGCCUGAUCCAGCCAUGCCGCGUGUGUGAAGAAGGCCUUCGGGUUGUAAAGCACUUUCAGUGGGGAAGAAAGCCUUGGGGCUAAUACCCUCGAGGAAGGACAUCACCCACAGAAGAAGCACCGGCUAACUCCGUGCCAGCAGCCGCGGUAAUACGGAGGGUGCGAGCGUUAAUCGGAAUUACUGGGCGUAAAGCGCGCGUAGGCGGUCUGAUAAGCCGGUUGUGAAAGCCCCGGGCUCAACCUGGGAACGGCAUCCGGAACGGUCAGGCUAGAGUGCAGGAGAGGAAGGUAGAAUUCCCGGUGUAGCGGUGAAAUGCGUAGAGAUCGGGAGGAAUACCAGUGGCGAAGGCGGCAUUCUGGACUGACACUGACGCUGAGGUGCGAAAGCGUGGGUAGCAAACAGGAUUAGAUACCCCGGUAGUC